rnacentral:rRNA from 1 species
UGCCUACGGGGGGCUGCAGUGGGGAAUCUUGGACAAUGGGCGAAAGCCUGAUCCAGCCAUGCCGCGUGGAUGAUGAAGGCCCUAGGGUUGUAAAAUCCUUUCGUUGGGGACGAUAAUGACGGUACCCAAAGAAGAAGCUCCGGCUAACUUCGUGCCAGCAGCCGCGGUAAUACGAAGGGGGCUAGCGUUGUUCGGAUUUACUGGGCGUAAAGCGCGUGUAGGCGGGUCGUUAAGUUGGGGGUGAAAUCCCGAGGCUCAACCUCGGAACUGCCUUCAAAACUGGCGACCUGGACCCAAGUAGAGGCAAGUGGAAUUGCGAGUGUAGAGGUGAAAUUCGUAGAUAUUCGCAGGAACACCAGUGGCGAAGGCGACUUGCUGGACUUGUGGUGACGCUGAGACGCGAAAGCGUGGGGAGCAAACAGGAUUAGAUACCCUUGUAGUCCGC